CCACAGGAUCAUCAGUCUUCGCCAGUCCGUUGCCCCUGAUGGAAUCCAGUACCACGAGUGGUCGCCAGAAUCAGUUUCCAGCCGGUCUCGCCAAUCUGUCCUCUCCUGCGGUCCCACCACGAGCCUCUGCCUCUUCUAGUAUCCCAUCCUUCACCAGCAUCUGCCUACGGAGAAAUCCACCAGUGACGCCGCUAACUUCUGCCUCUAGUUUGGAACCGACAUCCAGUCCUGCUCACGCUCUGUUUUCUGCUCCACGUAUUAAACCUCUUACCUGCCACGCUUGCCUCCCGCUGUGUUUCUUCUGGGUUCCAGCAUCUGGGUUCGAAAAGUGUUCUGUAGCCAUGACACCACAAGUGAUAAGAAGUGAUAAUGGUACACAUUUUGUAAAUCAAGUGAUAGACAAAAUGGCUCAACGUCUUUGUAUUGAUUUAAAGAACAUUGUAGUUAUCACCCAAAGAGUGCAGGAUUAGUUGAGAGAACUAAUGGCACUAUCAAAUCAAAGUUAAAGAAAUGCAUGAAAGAGACAAACAGACAGUGGCCUGACUGCAUAGACUUAGUUCAACUAAGCAUGCAUAUCACUCCCACAGCAGGUCAACCUUUAACGCCUUUUGAAAUGUUGUAUGGACGUUCUUAUAGGUUACCAGAUCCUGAUCCUACACAGCAAAAUUCUCCAGAUGAUGAUGCAAAUUUAGUGAAUUAUUUCAGGAAAAUGUUUACCACUAAAGAUGUGCAAAGGACAAAUCAAGUGCCAGAUUCCUUUUUAUCUCCACAGGACACCUCACCAGUGCAGGUUGGUGACUGGGUGUUUGUGAAGGCCAUAAAAAGGAAGUGUUGAUCCAGCCCACGGGGGGAAGGGUCAUUCCAAGUCCUGCUGACUACACCAACAGCUGUAAAGAUUGCUGAAAGGACGUCUUGGAUCCAUCUAUUAAACUGCAAGAAAAAGCAUCUGGGUGAGGUUAACUCCAACUGCUAGGUGGGGAAGUCUGACUACAAAGGGAGGCAGCUGUAUAGAAGCUGCUUGUCUCAACGUCAGUGAAACCGGGAGAUCCACCUAGUCUUAGGGAAGAAAGCACACCAGAUCUCUUUUGCACUACACGGAUCCUACACUGUUAGAGGACUUGAGGAGGUGAUGUGCUAGUAACCUCUCCCUCCCGAAGAUAGGUACAUAUCCACCAUGGCGUGUCCAACUGGGCUAAGAGACAGUUUAUUUUGUUUACUGUUCCUGCUAUUCCUGACAGGAGCCGCCACAAGGAUUUGGUUCUUUUGGAAUCAUUAUCCACCUGCAAGAAGAACCACCAACGAGGAAAGACUAAAUGUUUCUCGACGAUGGCUGAGUAUUGAUGAACAUGAUGUUUUGAAUAGUCCAAAAAUGAACAUAACUCACCUGUAUAUGAGAAAUUCUUGGUAUAGGUAUGUUAUGUUACUGGCUAAGGAAAAGAAUAGAUCUGAUUGCUAUGUUUGUUCUGUAAUUCCAACUUCAUCCCUACAUCCUAAUUUACAGGCAAAGCAAUUUUCUGAGUAGAAAAGCGACUGUGUUAUUGAAUAUAGUACCAGAGGGUAUAUUAGUACUGGAGCCGUCACCACUUCAAAUGGUACUCUUGUAAGACCGAGUUGUAAGAGUUUGUAUCAGUUUAAAAAACUGAUAUUGAAAAAACCAUUUGCUCCAUAUGCUAGUGUGGAACCAGGAACUGUGUUUCCACAUUGCGUAACUAACAAUGGAACAGUGUUUUUAGGAACUUUGCCGAGUAAGAUGUGUCAUGAACUUCUUGUUCCCUUCACAGUCCAGAUAAUCAAUGACAGAGUUUCCCAUGGUUAUGCUGUUCCCUGCCCCAGAGGACGUUGUGUUGGAUCUAAUCUAGAUUUAAUUCCAGGUAACAAUGGUACUUUUGUGGUUCAUCAAAUGCUUUGGUUAUGUGGGCAGGCCCUCUACCUCAGUUUGCCUAGAGACUGGAGUGGGAUUUGUGCUUCUGUAAAGGUCACAGGUCACACUUUCAUAGUUUCUGCAGUCCAUGAGCCUCACCUGCGCCAAAGACGCAACCUUAUUGAUGUCAAGCCACAUGAUUCCAUUUGGGGAUCACAUGUUCCUGAAGACCAUAAACAUUGGAAUACUGGGGAAAAGAUGAAGGUCACAGCAUCACUGAAGCAUUACAUCAACUUGAAAAGGUUCAGCAGGCAAUGCAGGAUGACAGGAAACCCCAAUCUUGGGAUUUCUUCUCCUGGUUUGCUUUUGGUUCCUGGUGGCAACUUUUGUUAAAAAUAGUGACACCUAUUCUUAUGGUACUGAUCAUAUGUUGUGUGUUCACUAUGUGCAUUUUUCCUAGUAUUCAAUCUAUGAUUUCCAUUGCAGUGAAUGGUGGAGUACAAAGUGUUCUUCUGAGUCAAGAAUACAACUUGUUAUUAAAGGGAGAACAAGAUGACUGUAAUGAUUUUGAAAUUGAAAUUACUUGAAAAAAAAA